rfam:Bacillus sp. FJAT-27997 Scaffold1, whole genome shotgun sequence.
CAUGAAUGACCAUCUGUUAAAAUCGCGCACGUCAUGACGAGCAACACAGAAGUCAGCACAUCCUGUGCA